GGGGAAUAUUGCACAAUGGGCGCAAGCCUGAUGCAGCCAUGCCGCGUGUAUGAAGAAGGCCUUCGGGUUGUAAAGUACUUUCAGAAGGGAAGAAACCGCACCGUGCUAAUCAGCGGUGCCUUGACGGUACCUUCAAAGGAAGCACCGGCUAACUCCGUGCCAGCAGCCGCGGUAAUACGGAGGGUGCAAGCGUUAAUCGGAAUUACUGGGCGUAAAGCGCACGUAGGCUGCUUUGUAAGUCAGGGGUGAAAUCCCACGGCUCAACCGUGGAACUGCCUUUGAGACUGCUUAGCUUGAAUCCGGGAGAGGGUGGCGGAAUUCCAGGUGUAGGAGUGAAAUCCGUAGAUAUCUGGAGGAACAUCAGUGGCGAAGGCGGCCACCUGGACCGGUAUUGACGCUGAGGUGCGAAAGCGUGGGGAGCAAACA
rnacentral:rRNA from 1 species